UAAGAACAAUAUAUUACCCCUUUUGAACCCUGCAUACAUUAGAAUAAACAUAUUGCAUUAUCCUUAUUUUUAAAUGUUUUGUUGCACAUAACACUUUUUGAAAGAUGUGAGAGAUAGACCAUGAACAAGCCAAUAAAAAAGUUUACAAACCAAUGAAACAGUAACUAGGCCCCGCCCACUGCACUGGAAAUAUUUUAUUUUAUUUUAUUUACUUGCUGUAUAGAUUUUAUAGUAGAAUAUUUGAAUCUUCUUUUCUGUGAACUACAGACAGAAACUCACAUUCUUACAUUUCCUUUUCAUCACUGGAGACAACUCAAGGGCUGAAAGGGUUAAAUGUUUAGACCAAUAUGGUCAAUAUUUAUUGAGCUAUGCUAUAACAGAAUUAGUGUGUUACUCACAUAAGUUGCAUACCAACAUGACAAUGUUGAUCCACAUACUGUUGCCAUGAGCUUUUCUUAUACACUGUAACCAAUUGCUGUAUUUUUUACAGUAAAACCAUACAGUAAAUAACUGUUUAACGAUUUUCCAUUGUAAAACUGUAGAACGCAAUGCAUCAUGGGAUGCCCUACAAAUACAACUGCCACCUGUGUAUUUAACCAUAACCUACUGGGGGCAAAGAGGCAGUUCUGUUUUCCCCUGGAAAGAAGAAGUUUCCUCAGGAUUUACUGCUGUUCUUGAGCUCACCCACCUGAGGAAAACUCCAAGAACACCUGCAUUUAAGAAUUAAGUUCUGUUCUUCGUUCAGAUGUCCAAAGUCCAACACCUGCAGACGUAUCAAGAAGUCUAAGGAAUAGCCAACCCACCAUCAGUACACCAAGUACAUCCAGCCCAAAUGACAGAUCCAGAGUAAUAGAUCUUAGUACUUGGCUCGACAAGUUUAAGGUCCCAUGGAGCAAGAUGCCCCAAGGAAUAAAACUCUCGAUAAAUGCACAACAGCGGCCUACUCCUCGAGACCGUCGGGAGAUGAUAAGUCAUUGUAGACGAAAUAAGACUUAUUGAGCCCAAUCCUACUAGAUCAGACUGCGUUACAGUCGCCAAGAUGGUUGUUAAGGAAUAUCCAGAAAGUUUUGCAGACAUUCUAAAAGAUGGCACCAGAAUUGGAAGUGGGUUUGCUUCACUGGUGAACCAGCUAAAAACGCGAGUUGAACACCUCAACCGUAACAGUGUAAUAGGAAGGCGCAGAAGGAUGAAAGGACACUCCAGUUCACCAACUACAAACCGAGCAAAAGGGCCAUCGGACCAAUAUGGGUGCAUCAGAUGGCAACCUGAUUGUCCUCAAGGGGAAACUGAGUCAAUUCUGAAAGAGAAGCAGGAGGAAAUGAAAGAGCUUUAUGCUCGUGAGGGUCCAGCAGCAGCAGAGAGAGGGCACAUUACUCAGCUCAUGGAGAGGACCUACUACUUGCAACGAAAAACCAUCAAUGCAAGUCCAGCCCCAUCUAUUGUGGAGCUCAAAACUGGCUGGCCAUUUCUUUUUACACCAAAAGAAAUUUAUAAUCACUUUAAGCUGUUAACUGACAUCUCUAUCCUUGAAAAAAUUACUGAUGCAAUUGAGCACAGAGGGAAGAUGAUCGUUAACUUUUUUCGCCAAAAACCAACAAAUGAAGUCCAGCAAAUUCUGUCAAGGUCGAGCUACCAUACUGGCACCAUGUGUUGUCCUCCUGCUGAUGGCACACUUCAAAGAACACUCUGAAGCACUGAUUUUACAAGUUGAUGCCACAGCCACACCAGCAGAUGUGGAGGAAUCAGUUUUACCAGACUCUCCAAGAUUGAUUGUUCAAGAUGUUUUGUGGGAAUCAACCCAACCACUGGCUCUAAGACAUCUACUGAGCAGGUCCUGAGCAAAAGAAGUGGAAAGGUAGUGGAGAAGAAAAAACACUCCAUGAAUGUCAAAGUUUGCAGCCUUCUAAGGAAAUUAAUGGACUUCGACUGGCUUUGCAUGUCGGUGUAAAUGUUGUCUUCAGCAUACUACUGCAUAAUGUGAAAAUGUUUAUUUAUCUUCAUGAUUAUUACAAAAAGACAAAAUGUCAAAUUUAUGUUUAACAUUUUUUGUAGUUUUGGUAUGUACUAGUAGAUAUGUUUGCCUAUUGACUGCGUGUAAGUUGGUUGUAAAUCUAAUAGCAUACAGUACUUGUCACAAG